rnacentral:lncRNA from 1 species
UGAAGAUCUUCAUCACGCUGUCAAAUAGAGAGCAAUCUAUUUGCGACAGCAUGAGGAAGAUCCUCAGCACAUUGACAAAAAUUUCCAUGAUUUCUUUGGUGUGUGUUUUUGUUGUAAAUGAAGAUGAAAACCAGAAACACUUAUUUAUAGAGGUCUCUGGACGUUGUGGACCACAUAAAUUGUCGGUGCAUUGUGGUCCAUACAAAAGAAUCCUAUGCUGAAGGAAUCCAGAUUAUGUAAUCCGAAUUGCACUUACACCCUAUAAAAAUGAGUUGUAUUCGGAAGAUUUUAGCGUUUAAAUGAACAUGUUUGGCGUAAAGUAACACAAUGAAAAUUUAGAUAAUAUAUAUAUAUAUAUAUAUAUAUAUAUAUAUAUAUAUUAUGUAAAACAUAAUAAAACAUCUUAGUUGAACAACAUAUAACUAACACAUCAUUAAAUAAUACAUAAAACACGUAAUCACAGAUCAUCUAAACUAAUGUCUUCGUGUGGUGCAUUCAUUAGCGCCCUUAUCUCUUCAUAGUUCCUUGGCCGGAUCAAAUUUUGUUGAAUAUGUUCAACAAAUCUGACCAACAAAGCGUCUAACUCGAUCGGCCCUCUAGUACUGAACUGACAAAAGAUGUAGAACAUGGUUCUCACGCGUAUAUAAUUAACAAAAUGUUUCGGAUUGGUCCAAGACCUAAUCUUGGAGCUGAAGGCCCAAUGAGGCACAUAAAUCCAACUACAAACUACAUAUACCAGCGACGAGCUACAUAAUAGAGAACAAGGACCCAUAUUUGGACCCUCCAACUACGUUUAAAGGGUUGCCUAGCCUAUGCAUAGUAAAGGACGCAACCUCCUAACCAUUGUGCUUACGUGACACUCUUAGCAACCUAUAAAAGGAGAAACUCACUACAAAAAAAAAAUACACACUCUCAUAUUGAGACAGACCUUAAAACUCCUUGAAUACUCUUUUAUUUAAGUAUUAUAGUGUUUUUGCAGAUACAUCACUCCGUUCUGUGAAGAACCACAGUAACAAGAUCUAGAACAUUAGAGAAUCUCAUGACUUAACGAUAUCCUCAACCAUCUGAAACACCGCGUACCAGCAAUACUAUGACAAAUCAAAUAACUGACUAGAAGAUCUAAAAAGAAUGAUCCUGCAUAAGUCGAGAAUGAUCGAUGAAAAAAAAUUAAUGUUGUAUAGAGUGGAUAACCGACAAGUCUGAGUCCUUGUUGUCCGAGGAGACAAGUCCUGGUUCAAUAGACAUCGAAACGACAACCAUCGAGAAGAUGGACAAAGAUAAAGCCGCAGACCCUCCGACGGAUUUUCUGAGCACGCUCUCUUAAACACUUCUAGAGGACCCAUCUCACAUAAUUGCACUAGGACCCAUCUCACAUAAUUGUACUAGCACCAUAUACAAGAAGAAGAGGAUACAGUUCUUGGAAAAAUUGUAAAAAAGACACAAGAUAAAUAAAAGAAAAUACUUCACUUCAAAAAGAGCAAUAGACACAACACCGAGGAGUGCAUCGAACUAGGAUACCUGAUUGAAACCCUCAUCCAUGAAGGGGAACUAGGAAAAUACACAUCGCUAGAACGCAUCAACAACGUAAUCGAGAGUUUCCCUUAAAAAAAACAUAAUCGAGAGUUUGAAAUGCAAAGAGGACCAUGGUGCAAGGAAGAAGGAUGCCCGAACAAGCGCCCAAAAGAAAACAAAAUCUUGAGCAAAGACUUACUAGUAACCAUGACUAACGAGGCCAAAUGCCUUAACCCCUAUCACUGCUACUCUCAACAUGGACUAAGCAAAUCUUUUCAAGAAAUAAAUGUUGCCCCGAACUUUUACACGGAAAACUCAUGUCAGAGAAAGCUGACACAAGCUCAAAAGAAACUCACGUUCCUAACAAAGAUCGAUCAACCUCGGUAGACCCACCCUACGUGAGUCUGUACCUUCCAAAUUUAUGGAGAACCUCCACUCACUCGGGAGAACACAAAAAAUCAAUAAUGACCCUUUCUCAAAUCUGUUAAUGCUUUGGAUUUAAGAGUUUCAUUUUCCACCCUACGUUUCUAAACCAUGUGUCUUAAAGUAUACUUUUUCGAAGGACACGCACGUGUUCUUUUUCU